rnacentral:tRNA from 1 species
AGUAAGAUGGCUGAGAGAAUAAGCGGUGGAUUGUAAAUCCAUACACAAAGGUUAAAAUCCUUUUCUUACUACAUUA